GCGCGAGUGGCGUAAUUGGUAGCCGCGUUAGUCUUAGGAACUAAUGGAGCAAUCCGUGGAGGUUCAAGUCCUCUCUCGCGCACAA
rnacentral:tRNA from 2 species